GAGGGCAGUGUCAGUACUCACAUAUAUGUGACUGAGCUCAAAAUGGCAGGAAACGUGACCCUCAACAAAAUUGAUAUGAGCUUAGCAAAAAGCUAUGUGGGACCAUUCCAGGUGACAUCCCCAAGGUUAAUGCUUGUUUACAGGAAGGUUAUCCACUUCCUGCCAUUGGAAAGAUGCAGCUUGUAAACAGUCAGCUCCAGGUUCUGAAGGACUACUUGCUGAUUGGAACGGAUGUUCAAUUUACAGGAUAAAUCUCACUUGAAUUGGCGAAAAAUAAAUACAUACAGUAAACGCUGAUUUACUACUGGAGAAAA